GUGCCAGCCGCCGCGGUAAUACGGAGGGUGCAAGCGUUAUCCGGAUUCACUGGGUUUAAAGGGUGCGUAGGUGGGCUGGUAAGUCCGUGGUGAAAUCCCCGAGCUUAACUCGGGAACUGCCAUGGAUACUAUCAGUCUUGAAUACUGUGGAGGUAAGCGGAAUAUGUCAUGUAGCGGUGAAAUGCUUAGAUAUGACAUAGAACACCGAUAGCGGAGGCAGCUUGCUACACAGUCAUUGACACUGAGGCACGAAAGCGUGGGGAUCAAACAGGAUUAGAAACCCGCGUAGUCC
rnacentral:rRNA from 1 species